rnacentral:misc_RNA from 1 species
UCCGGUUCAACACCGGCAGUCUCCUUAGAGUCCCCAACUUAAUGCUGGCAACUAAGGACAAGGGUUGCGCUCGUUACGGGACUUAACCCAACAUCUCACAACACGAGCUGACGACAGCCAUGCAGCACCUGUCUCUGCGCUCCUUUCGGCACUCCCAACUCUCAUCGGGAUUCGCAGGAUGUCAAGGGUAGGUAAGGUUCUUCGCGUUGCAUCGAAUUAAACCACAUGCUCCACCGCUUGUGCGGGCCCCCGUCAAUUCAUUUGAGUUUCAACCUUGCGGCCGUACUCCCCAGGCGGAGAACUUAUCGCGUUAGCUUCGAUACUAAUAGGUUCCCCUACUAACAUCUAGUUCUCAUCGUUUACAGCGUGGACUAC